AAUCAAAUGGUAAUUACAACGAGGACUGCGACAGGACCAUCGGAGGCAUAGCUAACUCUGAUGACAAACACAGGAAGGAGAUCAAAGCGCUGAAUGACAAGCUGGACAAAAUUCUUCUUAGCCAGCAGAAGCAUGUGCACUUCCUUGUUGAUGACGAGCAGUAUCAAGUCCAAGAUGGGGAGGGGAACCAGUUAGAAGAAGUCAGCUGCAUCAACAAUCAAGGUGGCUACAAAGGAUACACCA
rnacentral:sRNA from 1 species